GACGAACCGUGCGAACGUUAUUCGGAAUCACUGGGCUUAAAGCGCGUGUAGGCGGGCCGCCACGUCGGCUGCUGAAAUCCCCCGGCUCAACCGGGGAACGGGCACCGAUACGAGCGGCCUCGAGGGGGGUAGGGGGGUCUGGAACUUCCGGUGGAGCGGUGAAAUGCGUUGAGAUCGGAAGGAACGCCCGUGCGAAAGCGAGGCCCUGGACCCUUACUGACGCUGAGACGCGAAAGCCAGGGGAGCGAACGGG
rnacentral:rRNA from 1 species